rnacentral:lncRNA from 1 species
GGCUCUGCCGAGGGGCUGCCGGCUCCCGCGGCGGGGUGGGGACAGCCGGGGGCGGGCUGCAGGCGGGAGGUACGAGGAGGGGAGCCGGGGGCCGGAGGCUGGAGGCUGCCGGGCGGGAGCCCAGCGCUGCGGCGGCCGCCGGACGGCAGGUCGGGGUCAGUGCCCAGAGCCACCGCCGAGUGGAGGGAGCGGCGCCUCCGCCCGCCCGAUCGCACCCAUGGGGGACUCGGUGUUCAGCGAGAGGCCGGCGCUGCGCUACGCGUUUCUAAUAGGUCAUGGCUUGGAGAUACUUUCUUUGUCAGUGCUAAACUCAACAGCAACCAAAAAGAAAACACCUCUAACAACAGAAGACUAAGGAUAUUGUAAAACACAGUGAGAUACAGAAGAAAGAUGGAAAAUUCUGUUAAUAACUUUCAUUCCAUCCUUUUGUCUUACAUCACUUACCGUUGUGUUACAAGUGGAAAAACUCCUUGAGUUUCUUUGAAAGAAAAAAGAAUUGCAUAUUUUAUGGUGGCAUUCUUCAGAUGUAUUUUACCUCUGUGUUUUUAUUACACAUUUUCAGCUGAGCUGUGAAGUAGAGCAACUGACUAAUAUGCAAGAUGUAUAUAGAGAGGGAAAAUAUUUAAAUCAUAUUUGUGUCUUUCUACAACAUUUCUGUCUGGUAGAAUAUAAUAAAGUAGCAGGAAGCUGGAAAUAGAAUUUGUAAUAGGAGGACUUGGCUUUAAAAACUUGAAAGGUUUGUCCUUAAUAAUUUGCCUUUUUUCCUUGACAAUACAAUUAUUUUUAAUAAUCCCAGUUCUUUUUCAAAUAUUGUAUUGUGAAAAGGCAAUUACUGAAAGACUUAAGCUAAUACAGAAGAACUAUUCAGUCCAGAUUGAUAAUUUUUUUCAGGGAUACAGUAAAAAAUUGUUUUUGAAUUGUAAAUGGUUCCCACAUGUAUAAAUAACAAUAGACAAAAAUGGUUCAAAAUUUUACUUUUAUGUCACACUAAUAAAGAACAAAUCAGAAGCUCAGCUGAGUAGCUGUUUGGGAAAUAAUUUUAAGAUUAAUAAGUAACAAUCUGUAUAGUUUAAUUAAUAAAUUAAUAAAUAACAAUCUGUGUAGUUUAAUUGACUCCUUCUAGUUUUGCGAGUGGUUAAGCUUUGGUGGUUUUUACUUGGCUCUACAGGAGGCAUUUUUGAGUCUCCUACCUUGCUGUCCCGUAUGUUUUAUGAUGACAGUAAAUUCGUUUUCAGUGCUCAGCUGCGUCCUGCCCAUCCUUCCUUCAGAUCCACCAGAGUGUGCCUUGAGUCCCGCAGGGUGUGGGUGUGAGCAUUCUUCUGCUCCCUCUUGGACCUGCUGCAGUUUCUGAGAG